AUUGAACGCUGGCGGCAUGCCUUACACAUGCAAGUCGAACGGGGUAUGGAGCUUGCUUCAUAUCUAGUGGCGGACGGGUGAGUAAUGUGUCGGAACGUACCCUUGAGUGGGGGAUAACCAGUCGAAAGAUUGGCUAAUACCGCAUACGAUCUACGGAUGAAAGUGGGGGACCUUAGGGCCUCAUGCUCGUGGAGCGGCAGAUAUCUGAUUAGCUAGUUGGUGGGGUAAAGGCCUACCAAGGCGACGAUCAGUAGCUGGUCUGAGAGGACGAUCAGCCACACUGGGACUGAGACACGGCCCAGACACCUACGGGAGGCAGCAGUGGGGAAUUUUGGACAAUGGGCGAAAGCCUGAUCCAGCGAUGCCGCGUGAGUGAAGAAGGCCUUCGGGUUGUAAAGCUCUUUUGUCAGGGGCGAAACGGUGGCGGUGAAUAUCCGCCACUACUGACGGUACCGGAAGAAUAAGCACCGGCUAACUACGUGCCAGCAGCCGCCGUAACAC
rnacentral:rRNA from 1 species